UACGAAGGGGGCUAGCGUUGUUCGGAAUUACUGGGCGUAAAGCGUGCGCAGGCGGUUUUGUAAGUUUGUCGUGAAAUCCCCGGGCUCAACCUGGGAAUUGCGAUGGAGACUGCAAGGCUAGAAUCUGGCAGAGGGGGGUGAGAAUUCCACGUGUGAGCAGUGAAAUGCGUAGAGAUGUGGAGGAACACCGAUGGCGAAGGCAGCCCCCUGGGUCAAGAUUGACGCUCA
rnacentral:rRNA from 1 species